rnacentral:rRNA from 1 species
UACAGAGGAGCCAAGCGUUGUCCGGAUUGACUGGGCGUAAAGCGCACGCAGGCGGAUGCGCGCGUGGGGUGUGAAAUCUGGCCGCUUAACGGCCAGGCGCCAUCCCAUACGGCGCGUCUGGAGUGAGGCAGAGGUCGAUGGAAUUGCCGGUGUAGUGGUGAAAUGCGUAGAGAUCGGCAGGAACACCCAGGGGGAAACCAGUCGACUGGGCAUCUACUGACGCUGAGGUGCGAGAGCGUGGGGAGCGAACCGG